UACGGAGGGGGCUAGCGUUGUUCGGAAUUACUGGGCGUAAAGCGCACGUAGGCGGCUUUGCAAGUUAGAGGUGAAAGCCCGGGGCUCAACCCCGGAAUUGCCUUUAAGACUGCAUCGCUUGAAUCCAGGAGAGGUGAGUGGAAUUCCGAGUGUAGAGGUGAAAUUCGUAGAUAUUCGGAAGAACACCAGUGGCGAAGGCGGCUCACUGGACUGGUAUUGACGCUGAGGUGCGAAAGCGUGGGGAGCAAACAGG
rnacentral:rRNA from 1 species